GCCUCAGAAUUCCCUCCUACACUGCACAUUUGACUCCUUCCUAUGAGUAUCCAGGGCAUACUCACAGGUGGGAUUGAAGGUCAGUUUGGAAGGAGGCAGGAAGCAGUUAUACAAAAAUCCAGUCAAGUAUCUGUAAAAUACACAGAAAUCAAAUAUGAGACCCUUACUGGUGUUAUUAGAAUAUCAAGAGCAAUCAGAAAUAAUCAAACUUCCAGUUGAAUGAAAUCGGACACACCUUGUGGCUUUACGGAUGUCAAUAUAGGGAUUUGGUGAAUCAAAUAGUUGUACACAUGCAGG